UUAGGACCAGCUGCUGACUGCAUUAUCUCUUGGCAGUGGCUCUGCCCUCCUCCCAAGAAGAGAGGAAAUAUGCAGGUCCCCUCCCUUAACCAGCGUCACCACCUUCUGCAAUCUCUUCCAGUUGCAGCCCACGGCUGAUCUCCAGCCCAUUCAUUAUCCCUGUGCUCAGAGAAUAAGGGCUCAUGUCUCCAUUCGAGCUUUCAUCUACCCUCCUAGCAGCUCUGUGAGGGUGGCGACCAUUUUACAGACAGAACACUGAGAUUUGGAGAGAGACAAGAAACUGCAGCCCAGAGAGGUCUCAGAAUUUCCCCGGAGUCACAACAAUGGCAGAGUGGGGCAAGAACCCAGACCUGUGGCUUCCUGCUGUGUGCCAGGCACUAUGGUAGUCUUGGGACACUCAUGUUUCUCAGACUCCAGCAUGUCGGGAGAGGAUGACACAGGCUGGUGGGAUUCUCGAGGCCUCCAGUCCCUUCAUCAGCGUAGUCCCCAUCUGUCCUCAUGCCUCCAGAGUCUCCCUUUCCCAAGCCACUCUUCAUACCAGGAGAUGAGGCUCUGGAGCCCUAGUGCUCAGGUUCGAAUCCCUGGGUACUUGUAGCUAUGACUCAGAGCUGUGACUCAUUAAUAGGUUAUGAAAUCAACUUAGUGGGUCAUGACCAGAAUUUUAAAAAUAUAUUUUUAAAGAUUUUUACUUGACACAUAAUAAUUUUCCAUAUUUAUGGGGUACAGGGUGACAUUUCAGUACAUGUACACGGUGUACAUGUAUCAUUACAUGUAAUGACUUGAUCAGGGUAAUUGGUAUAUUUAUCACCUCAAACAUUUAUAAUUUCUUUGUGUUAGGAACAUUCAGAAUCCUCUUUUUUUUUUUUCUAUUUUGAAAUAUACAAUUAACUGUGGUCAACCACACCUUACCCUGUUGUGGUGCAGGACAUUAGAGUGACUUGUCCUUUCCAACUGCACCCCUGUACCCGUUAACCACUCUUUCCCCAAACCCUCUCUGCACGGUCCCAGCCUCUGGGAACUAUUAUUAGACUCAUUAUUUCUGUGAGACCAACUUUUUAAACUUUCACAUGUAAGUGAGAACCUGGAGUAUUUCUAACCAGAAUUUAAGAAAAAUAAUACAACUGAACAAAAGAGUAAAAAAUAUCAGAGCACAUGGCACACAAAACAAUUAAAUACCUGUUGACAAUUUUA